rnacentral:rRNA from 1 species
GACGAACGCUGGCGGCGUGCUUAACACAUGCAAGUCGAACGGAAAGGCCCUGCUUUUGUGGGGUGCUCGAGUGGCGAACGGGUGAGUAACACGUGAGUAACCUGCCCUUGACUUUGGGAUAACUUCAGGAAACUGGGGCUAAUACCGGAUAGGAGCUCCUGCUGCAUGGUGGGGGUUGGAAAGUUUCGGCGGUUGGGGAUGUACUCGCGGCUUAUCAGCUUGUUGGUGGGGUAGGGGCUUACCAAGGCUUUGACGGGUAGCCGGCCUGGGAGGGUGACCGGACACAUUGGGACUGAGAUACGGCCCAGACUCCUACGGGAGGCAGAAGUGGGGAAUCUUGCAGAAUGGGCGGAAGCCUGAUGCAGCAACGCCGCGUGCGGGAUGACGGCCUUCGGGUUGUAAACCGCUUUCGCCUGUGACGAAGCGUGAGUGACGGUAAUGGGUAAAGAAGCACCGGCUAACUACGUG